rnacentral:rRNA from 1 species
UUUCCUACGGGGCGCAGCAGUAGGGAAUUUUCGUCAAUGGGCGCAAGCCUGAACGAGCGAUGCCGCGUGAGUGAAGAAGGCCUUCGGGUCGUAAAGCUCUGUUGCGGGGGAAAAAAGGCAGCAUAAGGAAAUGGGUGCUGACUGAUGAUGCCCCGCCAGAAAGUCACGGCUAACUACGUGCCAGUAGCCGCGGUAAUACGAAGGUGGCGAGCGUUAUCCGGAAUGAUUGGGCGUAAAGGGUGCGCAGGCGGGCGUGCAAGUCUGGAGUGAAAAGCAUGAACU